rnacentral:lncRNA from 1 species
UGUGUUUGCGAUUGACUAUUCUUAUAUCUCUAUCUUUACUUUAGCACAUACACUUGUGUGUUUUAUUUUUAAUUAGACAAAAAAUCUUAAAACACCCAAUUCACCUCCCUCUUGGGUGACCAUCUCUGGGCAACAUGAUUGCAUGACAUGAAGGCUUAUAUAAUUCCAAAUGAAAGGGGGAGCUUUAACUUCAAAAUUUACUGUUUCACACCUUUCAGUUUUGGAUAAAUUAAAAUAACUAGACAUUUGAAUUCAUUUUAAAAUUUUACUAUAAAUCUUCUUGUUUGUUGAGCAAUUCACUUUACAUAUACUCAAUGUUUUGUCAUCAUCAAAAAGGGGGAGAUUGUGGAGUG